GCUGGGCGUGGUGGCACAUGCCUGUAAUUCCAGCCACUCAGGAGGCUGAUGCAGGAGGAUCAUGAGUUCAAAGCCAGCCUCAGCAACUUAGCGAGACCAGUGCAACCCUAAGCAACCCAGUGAGACCUGCCUCUA
rnacentral:sRNA from 1 species